UCCAGUUCCGCUGGGGGGCAGCGAGGGGGGUCCCGCCCCCUGGCCGGCAGGCGGCAGCGAGCCUUGCGCCUCGCUCCAGCGAGCAUCGCCGGCUCCUCCACCAAGUGCACGAACGCCGCAGGAAAGCCAGCCAAUCACAGCCAGUGUUUUAAAUAAAGCCUCUUACGACAUUAUUCGUUCUCCUCUCUAGCUUGGUGUGUUGUUUGCUUUUUUUUUUUUUUUUUUUUAAUCGGACCCUUUUUGGGGGAGGCGCUCCGUCCCCCCCCUCUCCCCCAGCCUCCGGCGGAGCGGGGAGGGUCCCCACGGGCCGGCGGGGCGGCGACGCACGCCCCGCGGAGCCGGCUCCCUGCAAGAAGGUAGGAAGCGGCGCAGAGGCGAGAGCCAAUCGCGGAGAAAAGCCCGAAUAGCGGCCCGUGUCGCUUUACAGCGACAAAUAGUGUCCGCGGCUGUCACAUGGCCCCUUGAAGGAGGCGCGGAGCCCUGCCGUUGCUGUCUGUGCCGCUCCGCAGAUCGGGCCCUACUUUUACUCGCGACUUACAACCAGGGGGAGGAGGACUCCAGGGCACUUGGGUGAGUUUGGUUUUGUUUUUAAUACUGUAAACGUGGGACGGGGGAGCUGGGAUGGCUCAUAUGUACAGAGUGAAUAUUACAUAUUUUCAGAAACCGCCUCCUCUGGGCUGUCAACAACAACAAAAUCAAUAGCCUGAAAACAAGCAUUUAAAACUUUAUGCAACACCUCUGGGGAAAGAAUGAGUGAAAACAGGAAUUUAAUAAAGUGGCUUUUUUGGGGGGGGGAGUGGGCUAACAAAUUCUUACAGCAAUAAAAUGUAGAUGAAGUAAUUAAACAAAAUGGGCCAAAUCCUGCUGCCUUGCCUUAGCAAAGCUGGUGGUCCCACUGAUUUCACUCGGACUAUUGGUGUGAGUAAAGGAAGGAGCAGUUGACCCAUUGUGUUACUGGUGGAAGCAAAAAAAAAAAAAAAAAAAAGCUUUUUCAAUAGUUAUCCAUAGUUACUGCGAAUACCAGUUCAAAAAUGGUGGUGGAAGUGCCCCUUAUCCUGGGGACAUAUAUAAUGCCAUGAUGUUAGAUACGUUAUUCCAAGUCAAUUACAAUGGUAUUAUUUAAUACAAACUAUAGACAUUUUGUUAAUAAACAAGCCGUAGUGUCCAAACCCUGUAAUUCUAUUCGAGGCAAAGAGAAUGUCAGGAGAGCCUAAUGCUGCGAACAAUCAGCCAAGGAUGCUGCCCUUGAGAUAAUAUGGGCUCUACGUUCAGAGGGUUCAAAAGUUUAUGGUAAAGGCUCGGGUACCGGUAACCUUCCUCACGUGCGAUAAAAUUCACCCCUGCGCUGACCGCCAGCACAAGCCCUGGGCAGUUACUGAAGUGCCAUUCCAGCCCUCAAAAUAGUGGCACUCGGUUGCUGCGAUAGGCUUUGUGUUUCCACCUCUGCACGGUGGUGAACGUCACCGCCGAAUAGGCCCCUUGCAGCUGCUUGCGUAAGUAAGAAUGACUCACACGAGUUAGAGUAGCAGGAUCAGCUCCCAGUUUCUGAGGUUCUUCCGGUAUGUUUCUGGUUGCGGGAGAGCCAGUUGCAGGCUUGGGCAGCAGCUCUAAUUUAGCUAAAGAGGAAAAUCAGCUGUCUGGUCAUUUUACUCACGGGAAUAAAGUGAUCAGAGUCUGGAUUAAAGUUAGGGAAACUGUGCCCGAAUGGGGAGGAGGGCGGGAGGGAGAGGAGAAUUGAAAAAGAAGGUAAGUGACCUCCUAAAAGCCCCAUAGUUUCCCCAAAAGCUUAAUAGAAAAGCUUCCACUUGCGUCAGAGAGCAUAAAUAGGCCCCCAAAGGACAACUAGUGUGAAAAUAAUAUUUAUGGGCAACACCUACCUGUGUAUCAAAUAGGCUUUAAUCCAUUGUCAAAUAAAUGUUGGGAUACUGUGGGUCAAACCCGCUGUGUAAAUCUGCAACUCUCCACUGACUCCAGGGGCAUUAUGGUGCCUUACACCAGCUGAGAAUGUGGUCCUAUGUGAUACACCUGUGCCGGUCAGGUUUUUGCUCCAGGGGCCCUGGGGGGACAAAACCGCUCACCUUUUGCUCUUUUCUUUCUCGCGGUCUGUGGGAGCGAUUUUCCUAGCGAUGCGUCUGCAUAACCUCCGUCGAAUGUCUCGGCUACUUCAGAAAACACGCCGCGCUGCUAAACAUGAAGACGGCGACUUCGCAAUGAAGUUACACUAGCCGCGAAGAUGUUUAGAUACUGGGCACUUUGUAGAAAUGUGUAGCCAAAGUGUAGCUUUGGGCUAGAUAUAGCGGUGCACGGCCAGGCGGAACACCCUUGCUGCAAUCCCACGCCUAUUACCCCUCCUCCCGCCUCCCAGUCUGUAGAGUCGACACUGCAGGAUCUCAAUGAAACCUUCCACUCGCUGAGCCGUGGUUUAGACCUGGAGACAUGGUGUCCGCUUUUCAGCGUGAACAUCCUGCUUUCCCCACAGUCCCUCGCACACUUCUCGAUGGUCCCGGGUGACUUGGGGAGUGCUCAGAGCGGGUGAGGUGCUCCAUCGGAGUAGCCCGGGUAUGGGUCCCCAGAAUGGAAGUAGGAGUACAUUCUGCCAUCACCUGCCUACUCUGAAAAAUGGGGAGAGCUUGAAUUAGGUCUAUUGAUGUUUAAUUGUGAUGUCAACUAGGGGAAGUUAAAAUUGGUGGACACGAUUAUCACUGCACACAUUUCUUGCUGCUGCUCCCAUGGAAGUCAAGGGCAAAAUUUCCAGAAUGGAGUCUAGAGAGCAAAUACUGGUUUUAGAGAGGUUGCUAAGGAAGGUCGGGAGAGGGAUCCUCUCUUUCCCCAGAGUUCAAAUGAAAGUAAAUAAUGCCUUUUAAAAAUCUCCAUUAAUCUGUCCCCAAAGGGAGGAGAAUAAUCUGUUUUAGGCCUUUGGUUGGUGAAGAGCCCCUUAGUGUUUACAAGAGAUUUAUUUUGUAGAUGGCAGGGAUGUGAACAGCAGCAAUCCAAAUAAGGGGCCAAAUCCUGCCUUCUAAUUUGCCCAGCUAAUACCAGAGAGACCAGUGGGGUUACCCAUGUGAGUAAAUUGAACAGGAUUUGCCCCAGAUUUGUUAGAAACAUAAAUAAAACGCGAAGAGCAAAUCUGCAUGGAAAAUAGUUUAACAUUCACCCCUUGCAGAGGAGCUGCAUGCGGCCUUCAAGUACACUUAUUCCUCGUGGGCUACCCUUAGACACAGGAUUCUUGCUAGCCCUCUUCAUGGGGUGAAUUUCAUUCUGUAAUGAGCAGUUGACACAGUAUGUCUGAUUUGAUCAAGGUCAUUCAAAGUCAGAGAACAGAAAGAAAUUACUUUUAUCGUGAGUUUUUGCCUCUUAGUGUAUUACCAGCUCUGUUCUAUUGCUACCAAAAUUUCAACCCUACAAAGAUAAGAGUCUCUCUCUCUCUCUCUCUUUCUCUCUCUAUCUCUCUCUCUCUCUCUUUUUGACCACACAGAUCCAAAAUAAAAAAUAUAAAAAAUUG